CCCCAGUAUCUCACCACUGCGACGGUGUAGGUAGGGGAUUGAGCUGGAGCUAGCUCAAAUAAGGCUCUUUGCUUUUGCAUCGGACUUGGCUCCCUGGUGGUCUUCGGGGAUCACGAAUUCUGGGCAUAACAGAAGAAGCUCCUUUCCUGGAAUUUACUUUGCUGUCUACAGGCGCCACAUGCUGGGGAAGAAGUCGGAAGUUCUCUGAAGCACAUUUCCAGUCAAAUUGUAUCUCAUGAAAAAUCAAAAUAACACAGAGAUGGAGAAUCUGUAACAAAAGCACCAUUGUUGAAGGCUGUUCCAUAUCCAGACAGUCCUUUCUCCAGUCCUAGCCCUCCUCUGAUGUGGCCCUAACGCCCGCACCUGAAACUCACCCAAGAAGAGGAAACAAGGAGACAGUAGACACCUCCAAGGGGAUGAGCCCUUGCUCUGUGGUUGAGAACUGACUAAUAUGAAAGGGGCCUAAAAACUGAAGCUUUGUGUAAGGAAACUCUACUGCUGUAGAUAACAGAUAAUCAUAAGCUGUAUCAUCUCUGUUUUCGUGACAAACAGAAGGCCUGAAUGUUUGCACGCCAAUAAAACAUCCUCAAGCAUUGGA